CGGCACACCUGCCCGGCAGGCACCGGCCCCCACCUCACACCCACGGAAGGUCUGGACCACCCAACCUCCAAGCCCCCCUGAAGCUUGAGUCCCAGGUGGAGUUGGGGGGGAUCCGCUGGCCCCAGGGAGGGCAGGGGUUUUCCAGAUGGGACACAAGAAGAGCGAAUCCCUCACCCCAGUGAGAGGCCCCUGCUGUUUGAAAUACUCGACAAGAAGGUGCAGGCCCAGGCUCGGGGCAGAGGACACGCCAGGCUCACUGCCCCGUGGGCAGAAGGAGGGUCAGCAAAGAUGGCACCGAGGGGUUCUAGUGGGGAGCAGAGGUGCAGGUGGCCACAGCCGGGCAUCUCAGCACCCCUGCGUGCACCCCGGGGGGACAGCACAGGGAGGAGGCCCCACGUCUAGGCCUGGCUGAAGCAACCGUCACCCACACAGAAGGCGGACGGCCCGCUCCUUGGAAAGGCUCAGCUGCCCCCGGGAAGUUUGAGUAGACGCCAUGUGCCACCAACUGUCCCCCUCACAGGGACCUACUCAAGAGCAAUGGAAGCCACAUGAAGACUCAUCCCCAAACUGGAUACACCCCAAAUGCCAGCCAGUGAGGGAGCGACCCCAGACUCCUGCAGGGGGAAGGCCACGUCCAGGGAGUCAGUCCAGUCCUGGAGGACAUGCCUGGGACCUGACGUGAACAGGUUGUCAGAGACGCCCGGGGGGGGGGGGACAGAAGGUCAGAGGUCACCAUGGCCGAGGCUGGGAGGGCGUAGGUGCUGCGACAGGCCAGCCGCCCCAGGGACCUCCCUGCCUCCACGGCUCUUGGGUCGGCCUGGGCCCGAUCUGCACUCGCACAGCGGACACUGCGGUGAGUCGCGCUCGCUGAGGCGGAAGGGAGCCUCAGGGCGGCCGUGAACGGUUCUCAGGGCGUCUCUGCCCGGGCCACCGUCCCCCAAUCCUCAGGCCUCCUGUUGGCCGGGAGCUGGACGCCCUCCCUCCUGGGCCAUCUCUCCGUCCCCUGUGGAUGCCGGGGACCCCAAAACCUUUGCAGACGGAGUGCCUCAGACUCAGGCCUCAUGCUCUCAGUCUGGGGGCUGGAAGUCGGGAUCCAAGUCCAAGGCUGCCUCCUCCCAGGCUCUCCCUUCGACUUGUAGAUGGGUCCCUUGUCCUCGCAUGGUCCUCUGUGUCUGUCCUGAUCUCUUCUCACAAGAACCCCAUCUUGUAAGAUCAGGCCGCCUGACCCUCAUCCUCCCCCCAGCCUCAGUGUGGACCUGGCCUUCCAACAAGGCCAGGCCCAGGUCCCAGGGUCAGGACCCAGCGUAUAUAUGGGGGCCACUUGGGCUUGUAGAUGGGGCCGAGAGAAGGCCGAAGGGCUGGGGCAGGGCUGUCCCCCGUGGGCAGGACCCUGGGGACCCUCACCUCCCCGCUGGUGCCCCUGCCCAUUCAGGGGCAGCCCAGGACCUUGCUGGGGCCCUACGUGUUUGGGACGGAGCACAAGGGGAGGGGAGGAGGAGGACAAUGACGAAGGGGGCACUCUGUCCACACCCCUCCACCCCCCGGGCUGUGGAGGGCGCUGGAUCCCACGCAGGGACCCGCCUGUCGCUGAGACCUGUGGCUCUAGAGGCUCCUCGGCAGCCUGACCCCAGGCAGGAAGCAGAUCACAGGCUCCGCUGAGCAGCAGCGGUGGCCAGAGCCACUGCUGGACAGUGGGGCCUGUGCCCCUGGGUCUCCAUGGCAAGGGCCACCUCAGACUGCCAGUGCCCAACUCCCCGGUCUUGGUCAGUGUGGGCUGCUGUGACGGAGGACCAGGGACUGGGGCCUCACGGAUGGCAGAAGUGUCUCUGUCCCUGUCCUGUGUGCUGGAAGACCCGGGGCCCGUGCUGCCGGUUCUGCUGAUGGCCUCUUCCGAGCCGCAGCCUGACCCGUCUCCUGUG
rnacentral:lncRNA from 1 species